AAAGUUUUGAAUGAAAGCAAAAAAUGUCGGAAAUAGCAUCACAUUUUAGAAUAAGUUUCGAUUUGUUCGAAUUGGUCACCUUUGGCACGAAUUAUGGUCUUCCAACGGCCUAUGAAACCGUCACACGCUACCAGAAUGUUGCUCCGCGGUAUUUUGGCCCAUUCCCGGCGAAGCGCUUGCUUGAGGUGAUCAACACUUUGCUCAUUUGAGUCUAUUUUAUUUCAGAUGCGGUGUAAGUUCUUGCACUUUUUUGUAUUUCAAUGGCUUACCUCGGCCUCAUUUUUCAAUAUUUGCCGAAUGGAAUAUUGCGGUAUGUUCGGCUCACGAGUCAUAUUUCGGCCACUGCAACGCGGAUUUCGAUUAAGUCGCUUCUUUACUUUUCGAACAAUUGAUGUUGCUGUUUUCUUCCGUUCAUUUCCUUGACGUCGGGCUACGCUACCAGUAUCAUGGUAACGAGCGAUGGUACGAGACAUAAAUGAUUUAUUCACAUUUAAAUGCUGGAGUGCUCUAACGAUAGCAACUUGUGGUUUUCCAGCCAAAUAUAAAGAAAUCACACUAUCGAGCUUGAAUUCUAUCACGAAUAACUUUUUUCUGGAAAAUUCUCACCAAAAUU